rnacentral:rRNA from 1 species
CCUACGGGGGGCAGCAGUGGGGAAUAUUGCACAAUGGGGGAAACCCUGAUGCAGCGACGCCGCGUGAGUGAAGAAGUAUUUCGGUAUGUAAAGCUCUAUCAGCAGGGAAGAAGAAAGACGGUACCUGACCAAGAAGCCCCGGCUAACUACGUGCCAGCAGCCGCGGUAAUACGUAGGGGGCACGCGUUAUCCGGAUUUAAUGGGUGGAAAGGGAGCGUAGGCGGCUGUGCAAGUCUGGAGUGAAAGCUCAGGGCUCAACCCGGGGACUGCUUUGGAAACUGUGGGGCUAGAGUGCUGGAGAGGUAAGUGGAAUUCCUAGGGUAGCGGGGAAAUGCGUAGAUAUUAGGAAGAACACCAGUGGCGAAGGCGGCGUACUGGACAGGAACUGACGGUGAGGCUCGAAAGCGUGGGGAGCAAACAGGAUUAGAUACCCUAGUAGUC